rnacentral:rRNA from 1 species
AGAGUUUGAUCAUGGCUCAGGACGAACGCUGGCGGCGUGCUUAACACAUGCAAGUCGAACGGUCCAAUAUUUGACACUGAGUGUUUAGCCAGGCAGGAUGUGGAAGAAGCAAAGACGGAGCGGACGCGAAACGAAGUGAAGCGACGACGAGGAACAAAAAGCAAACACAUCGGUUUAGACUGAACAUUAAGUGUUGAAUAUUGGAUAGUGGCGGACGGGUGAGUAACGCGUGGGCAACCUACCCAUGAGUGGGGGAUAACAGCUGGAAACGGCUGCUAAUACCGCAUAAGAUCUUAGAUACACAUGUAUUUAAGAGGAAAGAUGGCCUCUGAAUAUGCUAUCGCUGAUGGAUGGGCCCGCGUCUGAUUAGCUAGUUGGUGGGGUAACGGCCUACCAAGGCGACGAUCAGUAGCCGGCCUGAGAGGGUGGACGGCCACACUGGGACUGAGACACGGCCCAGACUCCUACGGGAGGCAGCAGUGGGGAAUAUUGCGCAAUGGGGGAAACCCUGACGCAGCGACGCCGCGUGAGCGAAGAAGGCUUUAGGGUCGUAAAGCUCUUUUGUAAGGGAAGAAAGACGAGAGUGCUAAUACCAUUUUCGAAUGACGGUACCUUACGAAUAAGCCCCGGCUAACUACGUGCCAGCAGCCGCGGUAAGACGUAGGGGGCGAGCGUUGUCCGGAAUUACUGGGCGUAAAGAGCACGUAGGCGGGUAUUUAAGUCAGGUGUGAAAGACCGCAGCUCAACUGCGGGGUUGCACCUGAAACUGGGUAUCUUGAGGGCAGGAGAGGGAAGUGGAAUUCCUGGUGUAGCGGUGAAGUGCGUAGAAAUCAGGAGGAACACCAGUGGCGAAGGCGACUUUCUGGACUGACCCUGACGCUGAGGUGCGAAAGCGUGGGUAGCAAACAGGAUUAGAUACCCUGGUAGUCCACGCCGUAAACGAUGGAUACUA